AAAAGGAUUUCGGAAUAUAUUUAUUAUCUAAAAAACUACUAGCAAAUUCAGUUAAGGUAGAUCCCGAAGUAAAAACUUAAUAAAAAGAAAACAAAAAACAAACAAACAAAAAAAAAAACUUCUUUGUCCGAACUGUACAAUGAGGAGGAGCCAUGUAGUGCAGGAUAUCAUCCACAGCUAUAUAUUUGACUUCAGGUGGACUGACUGAGUACAUCAGAAACAUUUUAUCAGAAUGGACUACAGGACAGGGCUGCUGCUUUUAACAAUCUGCUGCGCAGGUGUUAAUAAUCAGACCUUGACAGAAUCUGAACCAGCCGUUAAAAGACCUGGAGACUCACACAAACUGACCUGUACAGGAUCUGGAUUCUCAUUCAGCAGCUUCUUGAUGGCUUGGGUCAGACAGGCUCCAGGGAAAGGACUGGAGUGGGUUUCAACUAUUGAUGUUACAAGCAAAUAUUACUCUCAGUUAGUUCAAGGGAGGUUUACCAUCUCCAGAGACAAUAACAAACAGCAGGUUUACCUGCAGAUGAGCAGCCUAAAGACUGAAGACUCCGCUGUUUAUUAUUGCGCUCGACAACCACAGUGACUAAAGUCAGUUCAGCAGCUGUACAAAAUCCCAUGACGUAAAGCAGUUAUGGAAAAAAACUUGUGAGAAGUAUUUUUUGCAAUGUGUAAUACAUUC